AGAGGUUACUGCUAUCGGUGUUCGACUAAGCCAUGCGAGUCUAAAGGUUUCUUCGGAAACCUUGGCGGACUGCUCAGUAACACGUGGAUAACCUACCCUUGGGACUGGGAUAACCCCGGGAAACUGGGGAUAAUACCGGAUAGAUCAGGGAUGCUGGAAUGCGCCUUGAUCCAAAGCUCCGGCGCCCAAGGAUGGGUCUGCGGCCUAUCAGGUUGUAGUGGGUGUAACGUACCUACUAGCCGACGACGGGUACGGGUUGUGAGAGCAAGAGCCCGGAGAUGGAUUCUGAGACACGAAUCCAGGCCCUACGGGGUGCAGCAGGCGCGAAACCUUUACAAUGUGCGAAAGCAUGAUAAGGGAACUCCGAGUGCCAGCAUCUAAUGCUGGCUGUCCUUGUGCCUAAAACGCACAAGAUAGC
rnacentral:rRNA from 1 species